UUAUGCUGUGCUAAUUUCCAGUUUGUUUAGUUAAGAGCCGAACUGCUUUUGUUACUUUAACAAAGACUGUGGCUCACGUGGGUGCACAACAGUCACAGGAAG